rnacentral:snoRNA from 1 species
AUGCGAAUAUUCUCGCUGCCCUGAUCCUCCCAUGGUCAGGGCAGGCUAGACAUUCGCUAUAUUAACACUAUGCAUUGUGUCCUCCAGGACUAGGCUGCAGUUCUAGUACUGGCUUUGUAAAUGCUAGUGACAGGU